rnacentral:rRNA from 1 species
GUGCCAGCCGCCGCGGUAAUACGGAGGGUGCGAGCGUUAAUCGGAAUUACUGGGCGUAAAGCGUACGCAGGCGGUUUGUUAAGCGAGAUGUGAAAGCCCCGGGCUCAACCUGGGAACUGCAUUUCGAACUGGCAAACUAGAGUGUGAUAGAGGGUGGUAGAAUUUCAGGUGUAGCGGUGAAAUGCGUAGAGAUUUGAAGGAAUACCGAUGGCGAAGGCAGCCACCUGGGUCAGCACUGACGCUCAUGUACGAAAGCGUGGGGAGCAAACAGGAUUAGAAAC